GACGAACGCUGGCGGCGUGCUUAACACAUGCAAGUCGAACGGAAAGGCCCUGCUUUUGUGGGGUGCUCGAGUGGCGAACGGGUGAGUAACACGUGAGUAACCUGCCCUUGACUUUGGGAUAACUUCAGGAAACUGGGGCUAAUACCGGAUAGGAGCUCCUGCUGCAUGGUGGGGGUUGGAAAGUUUCGGCGGUUGGGGAUGGACUCGCGGCUUAUCAGCUUGUUGGUGGGGUAGUGGCUUACCAAGGCUUUGACGGGUAGCCGGCCUGAGAGGGUGACCGGCCACAUUGGGACUGAGAUACGGCCCAGACUCCUACGGGAGGCAGCAGUGGGGAAUAUUGCACAAUGGGCGGAAGCCUGAUGCAGAAACGCCGCGUGCGGGAUGACGGCCUUCGGGUUGUAAACCGCUUUCGCCUGUGACGAAGCGUGAGUGACGGUAAUGGGUAAAGAAGCACCGGCGAACUACGU
rnacentral:rRNA from 1 species